rnacentral:rRNA from 1 species
GGGUUCAGAACGUCGUGAGACAGUUCGGUCCCUAUCCGUCGCGGGCGUAGGAAAUUUGAGAGGAGCUGUCCUUAGUACGAGAGGACCGGGAUGGACUGACCUCUGGUGUACCAGUUGUUCCGCCAGGAGCACAGCUGGGUAGCUAAGUCGGGAAUGGAUAAACGCUGAAAGCAUCUAAGCGUGAAGCCAACCUCAAGAUGAGAUUUCCCAUAGCAUAAGCUAGUAAGAUCCCUUGAAGAACACAAGGUUGAUAGGUCGGGGGUGUAAGCAUGGUAACAUGUUCAGCUGACCGAUACUAAUAGAUCGAGGGCUUGACCAAAU